UCUGGACAUAUCAGCUUUUUAAUUCUCUGAUGUUGUGGGUAGGCAGUGUUGGGGGAGGGAGACAUUCAAGGCCUCCAACUUUUUCAGGUUUAUAGAAGUGCUUGGAAAUAUUUGUAGAUGGGCUUGGAAGUGCCUCAGAGAUCAAAGCAAGACUUUCAGCAGAAAGAGAGCAGUCAGAAUUGAUGAGAUGAUGGAUAUCAGCUGGGGGCUUCCACUACUGCUGCCCACACAGUAGGUCAACCUAUCUGCAUCCUCUGUGGAAGAAAAGGGUGUGCAGAGUGCCCCAGAAUCCCUGCCUUCUGCCUUCUGCAUGAGGGGCAUCAACAGUGGCUCCAGCUCCAUCCAGGGACCAAGACUU
rnacentral:lncRNA from 1 species